rnacentral:rRNA from 1 species
CCUACGGGUGGCAGCAGUGAGGAAUAUUGGUCAAUGGGCGGGAGCCUGAACCAGCCAAGUCGCGUGAGGGAAGACGGUCCUAUGGAUUGUAAACCUCUUUAGUCGGGGAGCAAUGCCGGGCACGCGUGCCCGGAUGGAGAGUACCCGCAGACUAAGCAUCGGCUAACUCCGUGCCAGCAGCCGCGGUAAUACGGAGGAUGCGAGCGUUAUCCGGAUUUAUUGGGUUAAAGGGGUGCGUAGGCGGAUUUUUAAGUCUGCGGUAAACUGUCCGGGCUCAACCCGGGCCGGCCGUUGAAACUGGGGAGCUGGAGUGGGCGAGAAGUAGGCGGAAUGCGUGGUGUAGCGGUGAAAUGCAUAGAUAUCACGCAGAACUCCGAUUGCGAAGGCAGCAUACCGGGGCCCGACUGACGCUGAGGCACGAAAGCGUGGGGAUCGAACAGGAUUAGAUACCCCAGUAGUC